AAUGCUCAUAUUUAACCAUCAAUUAAUCAUGGAAAAGGAUCCAAAUGCAAGCAACACCUAGACUUAGGGUUUUAUCUGACAGAAUUCCACGAGUUUUGGUGUUUGUCUAUUUCUGCAGGGGGUUAUCAGGAAAUACGGAAGAAAGGCCCACACGUCGGGUUUACAUAGAGAUAUUAAUGUGCCGCACAAUUUUCUAUCAUCUAGAAGACUCCAGAAGCCACGGGACC
rnacentral:lncRNA from 1 species